AUUGAACGCUGGCGGCAUGCCUUACACAUGCAAGUCGAACGGUAACGGGCCUUCGGGCGCCGACGAGUGGCGAACGGGUGAGUAAUACAUCGGAACGUGCCCGAUCGUGGGGGAUAACGAGGCGAAAGCUUUGCUAAUACCGCAUACGAUCUACGGAUGAAAGCAGGGGACCGCAAGGCCUUGCGCGGACGGAGCGGCCGAUGGCAGAUUAGGUAGUUGGUGGGAUAAAAGCUUACCAAGCCGACGAUCUGUAGCUGGUCUGAGAGGAUGAUCAGCCACACUGGGACUGAGACACGGCCCAGACUCCUACGGGAGGCAGCAGUGGGGAAUUUUGGACAAUGGGCGCAAGCCUGAUCCAGCCAUGCCGCGUGCAGGAUGAAGGCCUUCGGGUUGUAAACUGCUUUUGUACGGAACGAAAAGCCUUCUUUUAAUACAGGAGGGUCAUGACGGUACCGUAAGAAUAAGCACCGGCUAACUACAUG
rnacentral:rRNA from 1 species